AGAAUCAACGCUGGCGGCGUGCCUAACACAUGCAAGUCGAACGAGAAAGUGGAGCAAUCCAUGAGUAAAGUGGCGACCGGGUGAGUAACACGUGACUAACCUACCUUCGAGUGGGGGAUAACCUCGGGAAACCGGGGCUAAUACCGCAUAAUAUCCACGGAUCAAAGGAGCAAUUCGCUUGAAGAGGGGGUCGCGGCUGAUUAGUUAGUUGGCGGGGUAAUGGCCCACCAAGACAAUGAUCGGUAGCCGGCCUGAGAGGGCGCACGGCCACACUGGAACUGAAACACGGUCCAGACUCCUACGGGAGGCAGCAGUGGGGAAUUUUGCGCAAUGGGGGAAACCCUGACGCAGCAACGCCGCGUGGAGGAUGAAGUCCCUUGGGACGUAAACUCCUUUCGACUGGGAAGAUAAUGACGGUACCAGUGGAAGAAGCCCCGGCUAACUUCGUGCCAGCAGCCGC
rnacentral:rRNA from 1 species